UUAAGAUAUAACAAUAUGUCGGAUAAUAAAAUCAACUGAUUAAAAUUCAAAGGAUAUGGCGGUGUUUUUAUAUAAUUAGGGGAACCUGUUUCUUAAUUCGAUAAUCCACGACAUUUCAACCUAUCAUAAUUAGCCUGUGUACUGCUGUCGUCAGUAAACCUAUCAAAGAUAGUUUACAAUAAAUUUUUCUAUUUUACGUCAAGUCAAAGUGCAGCUUAUAGAUAGGAGAAAAUGGGUUACAAACUUAAUACAGACUACGAAUAAAUAAAUUAAAAUUAUCUUAAAGGUGGACUUAAAAGUAAUAUUUACAAAAAAUUAAUAUAAAAAUUUCUAAAACAUGUACACAUCGCCCGUCACUCUCAUCUAAAGACG
rnacentral:rRNA from 1 species